rnacentral:rRNA from 1 species
UACGUAGGGUGCGAGCGUUGCCCGGAUUUAUUGGGCGUAAAGGGCGCGUAGGCGGCCACGCACGUCCGUUGUGAAAUCGCUCGGCUCAACGUGGGCGGGGUCAGCGGAUACGGAGUGGCUGGAGGCAAGCUAGGGGCAAUCGGAAUUCCCGGUGUAGUGGUGGAAUGCGUAGAUAUCGGGAGGAACACCAGUGGCGAAGGCGGUUGCCUGGAGCUUUGCUGACGCUGAUGCGCGAAAGCGUGGGGAGCGAGUCCGG